AUUUUUCUUUCAACAGCAGGUGUUGUAACAAAUAGAGUUUCCCUUGAUGGAUGGAUAUAGGAAUAAUUGAAGAGGGGAUUACAACCGUGUUUCGUGGUCUGCUACCACAACAGCUCCUUUAUAGGAUCCAGUUAGCUCAAGACAUCAUCAGGAGGAACCCUGUCUGGUUUCGGCCCCUACUCCUCUACCGUUUUGACGUGGCGAGACCCCUCCUUCGGAGGUGUCUUCAGCUCUGGUGUUGAGUGCGUGUCUUCUUUCUUCUGUUCCCUGGCCUCUUCGAUGUUUAGUGGGAUUAGUGGUUGAAGCAAAAAUUUUGGAAAGGCAAGAUUAAAUGGAUUGGAUUAGGUAUUCAGCAGUGGGUCUGUGAUGAAUGUCACUGGGUGAAUGUACUAAAAAGUAGUGGCAGUAUACAUACAGUUAGGUUGUUAUAGCUUUCUCCUUCAGAACAGCUGAACUGUGGAAUAAACUCUCUACCUGUUGUAUUACCUUUAUUUCCUUUAAUCCUUUAGUGGUUAAACUACUCUCAAAUGUAAUGCUUGUUUAUUCACCUUGUUUAGAAUUAAUUCCACAUUAUCAUAUAGCUUUAGCAUUUCAAUGUUGCGAUUGUUUAUUUUUAGAAUGACAUUCCAGGGUCGGUGUGAGAGGCUGGAUCUAUAGAAUAUUUGGGCUUGAUAUGGCCAGGUUGAAUGCUUAAAAGUACCAUAUUUUUAAAAAAUGUACUGGGGUUGAUUUGUACAACUAAAACUCAUCAAGGUGUGCUCCAGCAUGGUCACGGUCUAAUAACUGAAACAAGUAAAAGGUAAAAAGUUGUGUAUAUGGAAGGUGAGGUUGUGGCAUUGGUGCCACUCUCCUGUUUCCAGUAACACUUUAACGAGAAAGAGCCUCUGGGUGAUUUUGAGUAAAGAAAAAUGUAAUUAAUUUGUGACAAGCUACUACAAUCGGGGCUUUGUUUUAUAUAUAUAUAUAUAUAAUCUUGUGAGUGGAUUUGGUAGACAGAAACUGAAAGAAGCCCGUCGUAUAUAUGUAUGUAUAUGUGUUUGCGUGUCUGUGUUUGUCCCCCCAACA